CCCGCUGAACUUAAGCAUAUCAGUAAGCGGAGGAAAAGAAACUAACAAGGAUUCCCCUAGUAACGGCGAGUGAAGCGGGACGAGCUCAAAGUUAUAAUCUCGGAGGCAGCUCUGCGAAUUGUAGUCUAUAGGUGGGGGUUUGGCAGGGAGGGCUGGUGGUCAAGUCCCUUGGAAGAGGGUGCCAGAGAGGGUGACAGCCCCGUGGACCAGCAGCCAGCCCUGCUCUCCCCCGCCAACGAGUCGAGUUGUUUGGGAAUGCAGCUCAAAGGGGGUGGUAAAUCUCAUCCAAAGCUAAAUAUUGGCAAGAGACCGAUAGCGAACAAGUACCGCGAGGGAAAGAUGAAAAGCACUUUGGAAAGAGAGUUAAACAGUACGUGAAAUUGCUGAAAGGGAAACGCUUGAAGUCAGUCACGUCUGCCAGGACUCAGCCUUGCUUCUGCUUGGUGUACUUUCUGGUUUGAUGGGCCAACAUCAAUUUUGACCGUUGGAGAAAGGCUGUGGGAAUGUGGCACCUUCGGGUGUGUUAUAGCCCAUGGUUGUAUACAGCGGUUGGGAUUGAGGACUGCAGCACGCCUUUAUGGCCGGGGUUUUGCCCACGUCACGUGCUUAGGAUGUUGGCAUAAUGGCUUUAAGCGACCCGUCUUGAAACACGG
rnacentral:rRNA from 1 species